rnacentral:rRNA from 1 species
UAAUGUAUGGGGAUCUGCCCGAUAGAGGGGGAUAACUACUGGAAACGGUGGCUAAUACCGCAUAAUGUCUACGGACCAAAGCAGGGGCUCUUCGGACCUUGCAUUAUCGGAUGAACCCAUAUGGGAUUAGCUAGUAGGUGGGGUAAAGGCUCACCUAGGCGACGAUCUCUAGCUGGUCUGAGAGGAUGAUCAGCCACACUGGGACUGAGACACGGCCCAG